UACGUAGGGGGCUAGCGUUGUCCGGAAUCAUUGGGCGUAAAGAGCGCGUAGGCGGCCAGACAAGUCCGGUGUGAAAGUCACAGGCUCAACCUGUGAAUGCCGCUGGAAACUGUCUGGCUAGAGUCCGGAAGGGGCGAGUGGAAUUCCCAGUGUAGCGGUGAAAUGCGUAGAUAUUGGGAGGAACACCAGUGGCGAAGGCGGCUCACUGGACCGGUACUGACGCUGAUGCGCGAAAGCGUGGGGAGCAAACAGG
rnacentral:rRNA from 1 species